UCCCUGGUGGCUUAGAGGGUAAAGCGUCUGCCUGCAAUGCAGGAGACCCAGGUUCAAUCCCUGGGUCGGGAA
rnacentral:tRNA from 1 species